CUAUCUUUUGUUCUUAAUAUUCUAUCUUAAUUUAUAAUUUCCCAGACCCUGAUUUUUUACUUGUUUAUUUUUAAGUGAAAGUAAUCUUGAGAGCUAUUCCAAAUAAUCUGUGGGACAAAGCUUGUUGUAAAUAAAAUAGAUAACACAGUAUUUAUAAGAAAUUAAAUACAUUUUAUUCUUGCCUUUUUAUCUCAUUUUUGUUUGGUUUAAUGUGAUUUGAUAUGAUGAAUUAUUAAUGUGUUAGUUACAAAAAAGAUUUGUACACUGGAAAAGUAGGAAGUAGGAUUUGUUAGAAAGACAGAAACACUAUUAAGUCAUAAUGUCCAAUCAAUGGGAUGAGUAAAAUUUUGGUAAUGUAGUGCUAUUUCAAAGUUAUUUAUGGGAUUAUAUAGUUGGUUACUUUUGUAUUUUGUUUCUCUUGGACAUUAAAAGUGUUUUUUCUGGCUAUGUAGCAUGUUAUUUCUUGUUAAUAUAAUCACCUCUGUAAAUUAAUCUCUCUCUUUCUUAGGGGAAAUGAAACUUCCAGCUAAGAUCUCCAGAAUAAACUUUGAUGAAUCAUGAAGAAAGGAUAAAUCAUGAGGAAGGGACCUUUAUAUUUCUUACCAGCUCUGAAUGGUGGUGCUGGUGGUCCAGAAGUUUUUGGCUUCUCUAACCACAGCUGACUGCUGCUAAGUUUAAAGAAAAACCAGAAGUAAUAUAGUACCCAAGUUAAGAGCUAGACUGGAUUGGAAUACUCCUUUAUGAACAAUGAGCUGUAUGGCCUUGGGUAAGUCACUUUACCUUCCUAUGCCUCAGUUCCCUCAUCCAUUAAAUGGGACUAUAAUAGUAGCAGUCUCUUAGGCUUGGGGUGAAUAUUAAAUAUAAAUGAAAAGAGAAUCAAAUGUAUAAAUUAAAUGAUAAUAUGUAAGACACUUAGAACAACACAAGGCACUUUGUAAAUGCUAUGUAUUUGCUCUUAUCGUUAACACAUUUUGAAGUUUAUAUAUUUGACAGAUUAUUUUACGUGCUAUAUCAUUGCUCAAUUCAACUGCUGUAACAUAUACUAUUGUCUACAUAUGCCAUAAUAUAUUUAUUUUAUCCUCUUGUUGAUGGAUAAUUGCUUCUUCCAACGACAAGUACAAACAAUAAGAAGAUGAACACUUUUGCACUCAUUGCCUGAAUAUGAUCUACAAAAAUAUCGCAAGAUAAAUACUCAGAAGAAUUCCUGGCUUAUAGGGUAUGCACACCAACAGAUUUACUUGAUAUUGCCAAAUUGCUCUCCAAGCAGUUGGGCCAAUUCAUGCUCCUAAUGUCAGUGUGUGAGAAUUUCCAUUGCUCUACAUCCAUGCCAACUCUAGCAUCUUUACCAAUCUGG
rnacentral:lncRNA from 1 species